rnacentral:rRNA from 1 species
UACGUAGGGUGCGAGCGUUAAUCGGAAUUACUGGGCGUAAAGCGUGCGCAGGCGGUUUCGUAAGACAGAUGUGAAAUCCCCGGGCUUAACCUGGGAACUGCGUUUGUGACUGCGAGACUCGAGUGCGGCAGAGGGGGGUGGAAUUCCGCGUGUAGCAGUGAAAUGCGUAGAUAUGCGGAGGAACACCGAUGGCGAAGGCAGCCCCCUGGGUCGACACUGACGCUCAUGCACGAAAGCGUGGGGAGCAAACAGG